rnacentral:rRNA from 1 species
GACGAACGCUGGCGGCGUGCUUAACACAUGCAAGUCGAACGGUGAAGGGGUCUGCUUUUGUGGGCCCUGGAUGAGUGGCGAACGGGUGAGUAACACGUGAGUAACCUGCCCCCUUCUUCUGGAUAACCGCAUGAAAGUGUGGCUAAUACGGGAUAUUCUGGGUCUGUCGCAUGAUGGGUCUGGGAAAGAUUGCGCCUUUGGGUGUUUUUGGUGGGGGAUGGGCUCGCGGCCUAUCAGCUUGUUGGUGGGGUGAUGGCCUACCAAGGCGGUGACGGGUAGCCGGGCUGAGAGGGUGGACGGUCACACUGGGGCUGAGACACGGACCAGACUCCUACGGGAGGCAGCAGUGGGGAAUAUUGCGCAAUGGACGCAAGCCUGAUGCAGCGACGCCGCGUGAGGGAUGGAGGCCUUCGGGUUGUAAACCUCUUUCGCCAGUGAAGCAGGCCUGCUCCUUGUGGGUGGGUUGACGGUAGCUGGAUAAGAAGCGCCGGCUAACUACGUG